rnacentral:lncRNA from 1 species
AUUGCAUCAACCUUGGAACCAUUUCCUACGCGCAUCGUCACUCCAUCUUUUGCCAGCCUUCGUCUAUUCCGCAGUUCCUGUUUCGAGUUGCAAAUAUGAGCAACAUAACCGGUAUCGAAUACCCACGCACUACUACGAGAGCCGGUUAAGUACACAUCAAUAACAUGUAUAUCAAAUAUACCUGAUUUUUCUUUGGCCGCCUUCAUAUCUGCCAGAUACUUGGGGCAAUUGCGCUUCCAG